UCUUUCGGGUGGCGAGNGGCGGACGGGUGAGGAAUACAUCGGAAUCUACUUGUCGUGGGGGAUAACGUAGGGAAACUUACGCUAAUCCCGCAUACGACUUACGGGUGAAAAGCAGGGGNUCUUCGGNCCUUGCGCGAUUGAAUGAGCCGAUGUCGGAUUAGAUAGUUGGCGGGGUAAAGGCCCACCAAGGCGACGAUCCGUAGCUGGUCUGAGAGGAUGAUCAGCCACACUGGAACUGAGACACGGUCCAGACUCCUACGGGAGGCAGCAGUGGGGAAUAUUGGACAAUGGGCGCAAGCCUGAUCCAGCCAUACCGCGUGGGUGAAGAAGGCCUUCGGGUUGUAAAGCCCUUUUGUUGGGAAAGAAAUCCAGCNGGUUAAUACCCGGUUGGGAUGACGGUACCCAAAGAAUAAGCACCGGCUAACUUCGUGCCAGCAGCCGCGGUAAUACGAAGGGUGCAAGCGUUACUCGGAAUUACUGGGCGUAAAGCGUGCGUAGGUGGUNGUUUAAGUCCGUUGUGAAANCCCUGGGCUCAACCUGGGAACUGCAGUGGAUACUGGGCGUCUAGAGUGUGGUAGAGGGUAGCGGAAUUCCUGGUGUAGCAGUGAAAUGCGUAGAGAUCAGGAGGAACAUCCCAUGGCGAAGGCAGCUNCCUGGACCAACACUGACUCUGAGGCACAAAGCGUGGAGCANC
rnacentral:rRNA from 1 species